rnacentral:rRNA from 1 species
UAACAGGAAACAGCUUGCUGUUUCGCUGACGAGUGGCGGACGGGUGAGUAAUGUCUGGGAAACUGCCUGAUGGAGGGGGAUAACUACUGGAAACGGUAGCUAAUACCGCAUAACGUCGCAAGACCAAAGAGGGGGACCUUCGGGCCUCUUGCCAUCGGAUGUGCCCAGAUGGGAUUAGCUAGUAGGUGGGGUAACGGCUCACCUAGGCGACGAUCCCUAGCUGGUCUGAGAGGAUGACCAGCCACACUGGAACUGAGACACGGUCCAGACUCCUACGGGAGGCAGCAGUGGGGAAUAUUGCACAAUGGGCGCAAGCCUGAUGCAGCCAUGCCGCGUGUAUGAAGAAGGCCUUCGGGUUGUAAAGUACUUUCAGCGGGGAGGAAGGGAGUAAAGUUAAUACCUUUACUCAUUGACGUUACCCGCAGAAGAAGCACCGGCUAACUCCGUGCCAGCAGCCGCGGUAAUACGGAGGGUGCAAGCGUUAAUCGGAAUUACUGGGCGUAAAGCGCACGCAGGCGGUUUGUUAAGUCAGAUGUGAAAUCCCCGGGCUCAACCUGGGAACUGCAUCUGAUACUGGCAAGCUUGAGUCUCGUAGAGGGGGGUAGAAUUCCAGGUGUAGCGGUGAAAUGCGUAGAGAUCUGGAGGAAUACCGGUGGCGAAGGCG